UACUGGAAACGGUAGCUAAUACCGCAUAACGUCGCAAGACCAAAGUGGGGGACCUUCGGGCCUCAUGCCAUCAGAUGUGCCCAGAUGGGAUUAGCUAGUAGGUGGGGUAACGGCUCACCUAGGCGACGAUCCCUAGCUGGUCUGAGAGGAUGACCAGCCACACUGGAACUGAGACACGGUCCAGACUCCUACGGGAGGCAGCAGUGGGGAAUAUUGCACAAUGGGCGCAAGCCUGAUGCAGCCAUGCCGCGUGUGUGAAGAAGGCCUUCGGGUUGUAAAGCACUUUCAGCGGGGAGGAAGGCGAUGAGGUUAAUAACCUUGUCGAUUGACGUUACCCGCAGAAAAAGCACCGGCUAACUCCGUGCCAGCAGCCGCGGUAAUACGGAGGGUGCAAGCGUUAAUCGGAAUUACUGGGCGUAAAGCGCACGCAGGCGGUCUGUCAAGUCGGAUGUGAAAUCCCCGGGCUCAACCUGGGAACUG
rnacentral:rRNA from 1 species